rnacentral:rRNA from 1 species
CCUACGGGUGGCAGCAGUGGGGAAUAUUGGACAAUGGGGGGAACCCUGAUCCAGCGACGCCGCGUGCGUGAAGAAGGAUUUCGGUAUGUAAAGCUCUAUCAGCAGGGAAGAAAGAAACGACGGUACCGGAGUAAGGAGCCCCGGCUAACUACGUGCCAGCAGCCGCGGUAAUACGUAAGGGGCAAGCGUUAUCCGGAUUUACUGGGUGUAAAGGGAGCGUAGACGGCGAUGCAAGCCUGAAGUGAAAGGCGGGGGCCCAACCUCCGGACUGCUUUGGAAACUGUAUGGCUGGAGUGCAGGAGAGGUAAGUGGAAGUCCUGGUGUAGCGGUGAAAUGCGUAGAUAUUAGGAGGAACACCAGUGGCGAAGGCGGCUUACGGGACUGUAACUGACGUUGAGGCUCGAAAGCGUGGGGAGCAAACAGGAUUAGAUACCCCGGUAGUC